UACGUAGGGGGCCAGCGUUGUCCGGAUUCAUUGGGCGUAAAGCGCGUGUAGGCGGCCAGGUAGGUCCGAUGUGAAAUCUGGAGGCUCAACCUCCAGCGGUCAUUGGAAACCAUCUGGCUAGAGUCCGGAAGAGGAGAGUGGAAUUCCUGGAUGUAGCGGUGAAAUGCGCAGAUAUCAGGAAGAACACCAAUGGCGAAGGCAGCUCUCUGGGACGGUACUGACGCUGAGACGCGAAAGCGUGGGGAGCAAACAGG
rnacentral:rRNA from 1 species